AAAUGACUUCAGAGGUGCACUUAUGUAAGAAUUGAUUAGAUCCUGCUAUUUAUAUGACUUCUCCAUGUUCCUCCAGAGGCCAAGAGACCUGUUCACUGACACAGUGCUUCCAGUCACUGAACUGAACUGGAAACCAAUCAACAAGGGAAACCAGGAGAUGCAGUCCUUGAAGAUCAGCCUCCUGGCCACAAGAAGGGCAGGGGAAGAGAAUACAUAGAUCUGUAGAGAAGAGUGGUGAUGGGAGCUGCCAAUAAAGAACUAUCAAAAGAGGUAACUAUCUCA
rnacentral:lncRNA from 13 species